rnacentral:lncRNA from 1 species
CUUGGAUUGUCUAGAACGUUUGGUUCCAGAACAUUCACUGUGUCUGCUCUUUUUUCUUCUGUUUGUUUCUUCAUCACAAAAGUAUCUCUUUCCAGAUCUGCUUUUCUUUCUAAACAUGUUGAAAAUUUCUUUAUGGGAUAAUUUGUUGCGGCCGAUUCUCUUCUUUGUCGUCCAACUUGGUUCUGCCAAUUCCCUGUCAAACCUGAUGUAGAAGCAACUGGCGACUUCAAACUUGCUAAAGCCAACCGAAGUUAGUGGAAAGAUAUGUUUGAAGAAGUUUAGACUCGAACCAUCCAAUAUUUGCCGCAAAGGUUUGUAAAGCUUUUACUUUAAAAGACAUGUUUACCAUGAGAUGCUUUUGGAGGGACGAUUGAGGAUUUUGUAUUAAAUAAAUUGAAAGAAUAGAGGCUACAAUUUCGUUUUCCCCAAAAUAUUUAAAAUUUGAUGCUCUAUAAAAUAUUUCUUUUUUUCCAUUUUCCUUCCUUUUCAUUUUAUUUCGAUUUCUUUUGUAGGCUACUAAGACAAACAUAAUCAAAUAAUCUGAAUGCAAAUUCUGCUUGACCAAGUCACAGUUAAAAUUCAAAAUUGAGGAAGAAUGAAUGUGAAUGAAGCCCUCUUCGUUAGAAGAAGACUCAAGAUCUAACGUCUGCAAAUGCAGCUUCACUACUUCCGUAUUUGGGUACUCUAUUUGUUAAUUUCUUUGACUAUUUAAAUUGUUGGCUUCUUGUGUAGUUAUUGUAUACUUUGAUUUUGGUAAUUCGUCGUAUAUCAGAAUUGGGAUCAUUUGCAUCUGGUUUCUUUUUCCUUUUGUCUUCUUUUUAGUUAAUUUCUAAUCUGGUCAUUUCACUAGCGUCGAAAAGUUAUUCUACAGCUUAGUGGAGAAAUUCAUGGCUUCUAAGUUUCUAUAUGGCGAUGCUUCAUGCAAUCACAGCAAAGGUUUAGUUUUUGUUAGUAGUUUAGGAUAUGGUAGGUGUUGUGUGAUGAAUGUGAAAGAAUAUGAUCUAUUAGCAUCAGACACGGUAGUUGAUUCCACAAUCGUGGAAAGCAUGAGUGGAUCCAUUAAAAUGAAAUUUUAUAGAAAGGAAAAAUCACAUUAUUUUAAUGAAGUUUUUGUGAAAUAAUUCUAGGUAUCCUUAGAAAAGUAGUUCUUUAACAAGAAGCAUUAAUGUAACAAGAUUUUUUUUUUUUUUUUUUUAUAUAUAUUCAUAACACCUUUUAAUGUCUACAUGAUAUUGCUUUCUUAAAUACAUUGAGCGAUCCUUGGUUCAUAAGACUUCAAGAGUGUGGCUCGAUGCUUAAUUAACUCAUCCUUUGUUAACAAUCCAUUAUUCAGGAUGAUAUCAUUCUUGGAGCAAACACACGAGACACCUGAGGACCCAUUGUUGUGAAUAAGAAUUGCGAUAAAAUUAUAUAUUUUUGUGAAUUUUAAAUAUGAUUUAUUUUCCCCUUCUGGUGCUCUUGUAUUUCGUCUCUUGGGAGUAAUGGAGUGAAAAUGAUAUUUUUUUUCACGAAAAUAAUAGAAUGCCUUCAUUUGAUUCCAUAUAGGACUGCUGGGUUGGAGCAAGAAAUUGAAAACUUGAAAAAGAAGUUGGCUACUGCACAAGAGAAAAUAGAAAUAUUCAAAAAGAGUUAUCAAAGGCUUAUAAUAUUAUAUUAAAGUUAGAACUACUACUAUCUCUUUAACAUCGCUUGCAUGAUCACGUUAACAUUUGAUACUGGCUUCAAUUCAAGGUGAAAUUCAAUUUUAUUUUUACGUGUAAUUUUUUAUUUUUUAUUUUGGCUGGUUCAAUUGAUAUAAUAAUUUUUUUUAAACUGAUAUAGGAUUGAAGAGCUGACUCAUGAACUUUCUGAACAAAAAAGCUAACUACCACUCUUUGAAUUGAUCUAGAAAACUAGGAAAAACUUAAUGAGACUUUCAAAGAGGUAGUUCUAAAUUUCUACAUGAAUUUCUAUCAACGUGAUGAGCAUUUUUAAUCUGUAAUAUACACAUAUUUAUUUUAGUACUUAAAUGACAAAAUUCUUUGGUGAUGAUAGAUUGUCAAUAAAUUUUAUGACAUCAAGCAACAUUGCAUCAAGAAUUUUGCAGAUACAAGCUGGGAAGAUAAAUGUGUCUCUUGGACAAUUCACCUGAAACGUGAAAUUCGCAAAGCGACUACAAACUUCUCUUGCUUCAAGUAAGUAAGACCAAUAAUCUAUUGAUUUUGAAUGAAUUUGUUCUGCUCAACGAAAAAGAAAGAAACAUUAGUUGUGAAACUACGAUAGUUCCUGCAAUUUAGUCCUUGACCUAUGACCAAUUAGUUAGAUUCGUAAAUGGGUCAAGUAAAUGACGAUGCUAUUCAUUAAUUUUCGUAUUGUUUCAAAAUAUUUACCGACUUCUCAUUUCGAUAAUAAUUUGAAGUUGUCAAGCACUAUAGCUAUACCCAUCUGGAGUGCAAGUAUAUUGCUUAGUACAGCUAGGUGAAGUUUUACUUGAGCACCAAGAAGUACAUUUGGAAUUUAAUUAUGAGUCCUGGUUGGAACAUAAAUACAUUUUGGGUAUUAUUUACUUCCAGCACCAUGAUUAACUUUACCUAAGACAGAGUGAUCUGAAAGCAGAAGUCAAGACUCUGAGAAACUCCAUGGAUAAUCUCCAAAAUAAGCUAUGCCCGGUGAAUUUCUGAUUUUUGUGUACCACAUAUUUGUUGAGCAUGCAUUUUUAUCAACAUAGUGCCAAUCCCAAGAUGGUGAUUAGGUGUCUAGAAAUCCAGUUUGCUAGGUUGUUUUAACCUUAGAUAUUAUCCGGUGGCGUAAUAAGAAAACAUUAUGUAUUCCUUGAAAGCAGAAGUUAAUCUUUAUCUUUCUUGUAAAUUUAUAUUAAUACAAUAACAAACGUCAAUAUCUUUACAUCUAUCCUUUCUUUGAUUUCAAAUUUUAAAAUGACUACUAAUCUUGGAUG